AGUGAACGCUGGCGGCAGGCUUAACACAUGCAAGUCGAACGGCAACACAGUAACAGCUUGCUCUGACUGGUGGCGAGGGGCGUACUGGUGAGGAAUGCAUCCAAAUCUAGUGUUUCACGGAGGGAAACCUGGGCUAACUUCCGCUAAUAUCGCAUACGACCUGCGGGGGACCGCACAGCAACGUUUGACCUUGCGCGAUUGGAUGGGCCGAUGUCGGAUUAGCUAGUUGGUGGGGUAAAGGCCCACCAAGGCGACGAUCCGUAGCUGGUCUGAGAGGAGGAUCAGCCACACUGGAACUGAGACACGGCCCAGACUCCUACGGGAGGCAGCAGUGGGGAAUAUUGGACAAUGGGCGCAAGCCUGAUCCAGCAAUGCCGCGUGGGGGAAGAAGGCCUUCGGGUUGUAAAGCCCUUUUGUUGGGAAAGAAAAGGAGUAGGUUAAUACCGCGCUGUACUGACGGUACCUAAAGAAUAAGCACCGGCUAACUACGUG
rnacentral:rRNA from 1 species